rnacentral:lncRNA from 1 species
GCUGCUGUUUUUGCUGUUCAGCCUGGAAGGAAUUUUAUAGACCUGUUCUUCCUAUUCCCCAGGAAAAAAAAACAACCAACUGUGUUUCAGGAGAGAGAAGAGGCUGAAAUUCAUUCCAAAUAAAAAUGUUGACAUAUUAACAGGAUCCUUUUGAUAGCUUCUUGAGCUGCUGAUAAAGAAGGGGAGACGAGGCAAAUAUGGGAAAAUUUCAACUAGAUGAUGAAGAAAAAUGAUAGCACUCCAGUGCUAUAAAGGAGACAUAUUUCUAAAAGUAAAGAAGCUUUUAACAAUUUCAGAAUGGAAAGAGAAGGGAAUCCUAAAGAGAUGUUAGAGAUAAUCAAUUCAGACUUCUCACCAUUUGCCUGUCAUCCAUCUGUCCUGGUCCCCAGAGCGUGCUGUUUCUUAUUGAUGGAAUUUACAUGCACCUACACAAAUAUGCAGAUAAGGGAAGAUCAAAAGAUUUUGCCUCGCACGCUAACAGAAGGUACAAAGGUCUGCCAAAGGCUCAUUAAUCCAUGGCUGAUCCUGAGGUUUCCAACUUAUCCUCUGUUGCUUUGUCAUAUGAAGCCUUACACAGGGCACUUGGAGUGCAGAAGGAGUAUGCCCUGGAUGCCAGCCAAAUGAAAGAAGACAGCUGAGGGGAAUUCCAGCUGUUAUGGGGAAUGAUGCUGCAGAAGGACUGCUUAGUUUGGAGCAUUUCUAUUCCAGUGGUGCAAUGACAAGUAAAUCAACAGGUUUCAACAAUCUGUAUUUGUUAGUCUAGCCCAGCAGUGACAGGUGGGUAAACUGCAUUUCUCAUUGACCUGUCUUUUCAUGCUCUGCUCCCUCCUAUAGACAAUGGUGUUGCAUCUCAAGUAAACAGAAAAUUUAAAAAUUGAAAAGCCAACAAGUCAGUGCAAUUGCAGGUGGGAGGCAUUCCUGGUUCAGACAGCUACAGACAGUGGCUUUUUUUAGCUCUGUUUAUCUGUGAAUUGAAUCCAGGGGGCUUAACAUGUAUGGAGUUACCCACAAAUUUACAGUAUGUGGGCAGCAAAUGACAACCCACUGCUGUAUUUUAUUGCUGCUGUAUUUUAUUACUGAUGUGUGCUCUGUGUUUUCUCCAUGGUAUCUACUUUUACCUAAUUGUAGCUAUUAAAUUAUAAUACUAUCAGAUAACAAGACCUUUUUAGAAGGCCGAAUGGAAUGGCAAUUUGGUAUAAUGUGGAUGAGUCUCUUGAAGUUGUUUCUUUUUCUCUUUUUCUCUUCUUUCUCCUCAGGGAAAUGUCCAUCAUGAGUAGAAAAGUUCCAGAUACUUUUCAUCUGAUGAAUCCAUAGUUAUUGCCCACUUGUUUCAACCUGCUGUGCUUCAAAAUGAGAGUAACUGAAAUUAUGUAACAAAACAGUUUAAUCAGAAUUUUAAAGAAAAAAAGUGGAAUAGUUUAAAGCUUGUAAAGUAUACAGUAUGAGGAUAUUCUCUAAACUACCUUUAUACACUCUGGUAAAUUUUCUUAUUUUUCAGAGCUGCAGUGGUAUGAGGACACUAAUGGAGCAGGUUCUCUGUUAUGACUAAGAGGAAAAGAGGCUGGGAAUUCUCCUCCUGUGAUGCAAGUGAAAGUGUUACAAUACAAGCUGCAGCAAAGGACAAGACUAGAGAUAAAUGCACUAUUUGAGAGAGAAGGCAAGGCAUUAUAAAAACAUCCUGAACCACCUAGUGAUGUAUUUGUUCAGCAGAGCUUUUAAAAAGUGCACUAAUGGCCCAUUUUAUCUAUCACCCCAAGUCAAUGAAAAACGCCCAUUGACUUAAAUAGGCAUUGGUCCAAAUGCUGAGCUUUUACAAAUAAUUAUACUCAGUGUACUGAAGUUACCAGUAUUUCUCUUCAGGCUGAAUGCUGCUCCCUCCACUGUGUGCCCUGACUUCAAUAAAUAAACAAACUUUCCCCUUUUCCUACUUAUA